UUACGGUCAUAUCAGGCUGAAACACUGGCUCUCGUACGAUCACCGAAGUUAAGCAACGCCGAGCCUGGCCAGUACCUAGAUGGGUGAACGCUAAGGGAUAACAGGUGCUGAAG